UACGAAGGGGGCUAGCGUUGCUCGGAAUUACUGGGCGUAAAGGGCGCGUAGGCGGAUGUCUAAGUUGGGGGUGAAAUCCCGGGGCUCAACCUCGGAACCGCCUUCAAUACUGGAUAUCUUGAGUUCGGGAGAGGUGAGUGGAAUGCCGAGUGUAGAGGUGAAAUUCGUAGAUAUUCGGCGGAACACCAGUGGCGAAGGCGACUCACUGGCCCGAUACUGACGCUGAGGCGCGAAAGCGUGGGGAGCAAACAGG
rnacentral:rRNA from 2 species